rnacentral:rRNA from 1 species
GACGAACGCUGGCGGCGUGCCUAAUACAUGCAAGUCGAACGCAGUGGGGACGGGUGAGUAACACGUGGGUAACCUCCCAUCAGAGGGGAUAACACUUGGAAACAGGUGCUAAACCGAUACUGAUGGAUGGACCCGCGGUGCAGUAGCUAGUUGGUGAGGUAACGGCGCACCAAGGUCACGAUGCAUAGGGGGGCGGGAGGGGUGAUCGGCCACACUGGGACUGAGACACGGCCCAGACUCCUACUGGAGGCAGCAGUAGGGAAUCUUCGGCAAUGGACGAAAGUCUGACCGAUCAACGCCGCGUGAUUGAAGAAGGUUUUCGGAUCGUAAAACUCGGUUGUUAGGGAAGCGGUAUCUAACCAGAAAGCCACGGCUAACUACGUGCCAGCAGCCGCGGUAAUUC